rnacentral:pre_miRNA from 1 species
AUUUCUCGUCGCCCCGGCGGAGGCUGGGGCCGCCCAAGGCUCCUGCCUCACCGUCACCCCGACUCUACAGCGGCCCCGGCCUCCGCCGGGGCGACGUCAUGA